UACAGAGGGUGCGAGCGUUAAUCGGAAUUACUGGGCGUAAAGGGCGCGUAGGUGGUUUUAUAAGAUGGUUGUGAAAUACCUGGGCUUAACCUGGGAAUGGCAAUCAAGACUGUAAGACUUGAGUGCGGUAGAGGAUAGUGGAAUUUCCGGUGUAGCGGUGAAAUGCGUAGAGAUCGGAAGGAACACCAGUGGCGAAGGCGGCUAUCUGGACUGACACUGACACUGAGGCGCGAAAGCGUGGGGAGCGAACAGG
rnacentral:rRNA from 1 species